rnacentral:rRNA from 1 species
GACAGAGGGGGCAAGCGUUGCUCGGAAUUACUGGGCGUAAAGGGCGCGUAGGCGGGAUGGCAAGUCGGUCGUGAAAUCCCUCGGCUCAACUGAGGAGCGUCGAUCGAAACUGCCGUUCUUGAGGGUUGCAGAGGAGACUGGAAUUCCCGGUGUAGCGGUGAAAUGUGUAGAGAUCGGGAGGAACACCGGUGGCGAAGGCGGGUCUCUGGGCAACUCCUGACGCUGAGGCGCGAAAGCGUGGGGAUCAAACAGG